rnacentral:lncRNA from 1 species
CAUGAGAGUCAGUGAACGAUGACUUGAUUUUUACAUGACAUUUGAAUUCUGUCACUAUCUGAUUCUUGACCUAAAGGUUUCUUUGCUAAAUCUGAUAUUUAUUAUAGUAUAAUAUGAUAAUUUGGAGCUCCUGUUGCAUCUCACUGCCCCAAAAAUGUUGGAAUGCCAUAUGAUACAGGGAAAAGAUUGGAGUUCAUCACCGUGGAAUUUUGAUCUGUCUUAAUGACACAACUUAAUUUUCAUGAUGAUAGAUCUCUGAAUGAUUAAUCCAGAAUGAUUUGGUACAGUGACUGGAAGAAAUUGUUUUUCUGGGAAUUUGCUUCCCAUAAUGACCUGAUAUACAGGUGACCUUAGUAUAAUUGAAAUUAAUUAUAAUUUUAAUUAGAACAUGCUCUGUUUACAGAUUAUAAUUGCGCAGCAUUUUAAAAAAAUAUACAUAAUUAUGAGGAUGAGAGAAUUGCAAACUUGAACAGUUCUUUUGUUUUCUCUCCUUUUACUUGAAAAGCUUUCAGAAAGCUUUUGAAAGAUGACACAGUUUUCAUAGCAACAGUAUGCAAAUUAGGUUUUUCUGCCAAGAAACUCAUAAACUAAAGUAUGGAAUAACACAAAUGCUUAAUCUUAAUCUUGGCUUUGGAUUUUGUAAGCAAAAGCAUUUUCUGCAUCAAUUUUUUUCAGUAUGCAGUUGCAUAUUUCAUUUUUUGAUUAUGUCAAAAGUUGAAUUCUCAUUUUAUGCUGUGUUUCUCAUUAGUUGCAGUAAAGUGUUGAUUUCAUUGCUGCCUUUCAGGCCUUCAUCAUACAAACCCUCACCAUUUUUCACUCCUGUGCUUUUGCCAUAGGUUUUUUUUUGUUUUUGGUUUUUUUCCAGCAACUAGUUUUUCUACUUUCACUCUUUCCCACCAGAGUGGUCUCUCUAAAACAAAUUUGCUAAAGUUCUUAAGUAGGCUCUUUUUUCUCUAAAUUACAGAAUAGCAAACUAACUCCUAAGCAAGAUGAGUCAGUGUCUAUGACCUUGCCUCUUUCUUCCUUUUUAGUAUCCUCACCAACCUUCCCUCUGUUGACUUUUGUAAUCCAGGAAUUUGGAACUACUUAUGACUUAGUGCCUUGGCAUAAUCACAUGCCAUAGAUGAACAUGUUCAAGACUCAGUUCAAAUUUAACUUUCUGUGAAGCCCUACCUGACUUCCCUAGGCAGGUAUUUUCUCCAUGCCUAUAGUAUAUUGAAACUUUUUCUGUUAAAAUAACAUAACAUUUCAAUUACACACACACAACCUGUCUCUUCCACUGAACUUCUCUCUCCCCCUUUGUAUUCUCAGUGUCUAGCUACACAUAAUAGGACUUUGAUAAAUAUUUUUGAAUGAAGGUAAUAGAAAACCCGAACUUCUCUAUAUUUGUGUACUUUCACAAACAAAGGCUUAGAAUUCCACAUGAAAGUCCACAUGAGGUAAGUGUGCAUUCAUGAGCAUGUGUGCACUCUGGGCAAACCAACAGAAGAUAAACAGCAAGGAAGAGCAGUUGUUUUGUGAAAAAUAAUCAUCUGUUAGCUGUAAAUCAGAAAUAUUGGCCAAAUCAGAAUUCUUGUUUCUAAAAUGAGGCUUCUAAAAUUUUCACAUAACUGCCAAACUCUUAUUUGUAAUUCUUAAAUAUGCCCUAAAGAUCAUCUUUCUCUUUUAUAGACAUUUAGUGUAUACAGUCCACAUAAAUACAUAUACUGAUUACCUACAGACAAUAAUGAGACUUCAGAAAGAAUCAAAAGCAAUAGUGAUGGUGGAAUUUUUAAAUAAUAUUCAGCUGGGGGGAAAUAGACUGAGUUUGUGUGAUUUCAGGUUAUUUAGAGUUAUUAAUGUAAACAUAAGAAGGCUUGUGACUCUUAUCACCCUCUAUAGAAUAUAAAGACUAAAAAUAAAAACUAUUACCUCUGGGCCUGUUUUUCUUUGGGAUUAGAUAAAGCCUUUCUACCAUAUCACCAAAUACUCAUAAAGGCUAACACAGAAAGCUUUUCCAAGUUAAUAAUUUCUAAAAUUAAAUAUCAGGGCCAGGUGUGGUGGCUGACACCUGUAAUCCCAGCACUUUGGGAGGCCGAAGUGGGUGGAUUACCUGAGGUCAGGAGCUCGAGACAAGUCAACAUGGUGAAACCUCAUCUCUGCUAAAAAUACAAAAACUAGCCAGGCAUGGUGAUGCACACCUGUAAUCCCAGCUACUCGGGAGGCUGAGGCAGGAGAAUUGCUUGAACCCAGGAGGCGGAGGUUGCAGUGAGCUGAGAUUGCACCACUGCACUCCAGCCUGGGCGACAGAGUGAGACUCUGUCUCAAAAAAAAGAAAAAAAAUCAAAAUAAUUGUAAUUAACUGAAAUGCCCUGUUCCUUCAUUCACUUGAUAGACUUUUCUACCUGCUCUAUACUUGGCACUCAAUUAGAUUCUGGGGAUACAGAUAAAAUAAGACAAAGCUCCCAUCUGGUAGAGUCCAAGUUUGUUUUCACAGUUAUUUUUCCACAGUCUGUUUAAGGUAUUAGGAGGACUUUUAUAAACCGAGUGUUUUUCAGGUUACUUCAGAGAGGAGUCUCCUUCCACCCAAAAAAACUAACCAAAUUAUUUUAUCAUAAAGAGGUAAUCCCAUUUUUAUGUCCACAAUUUUUACAUUUUUGUAUCAGCCACCAAUAAUUUUGACUGUUUUGUCAAGUACAUAUUUCAUCAAUCCUAUUUCCACAGCCGUACAUGUGAUCCCAGUGACUGAUAGAUCUGUAGAAUGUGAACUCACAUUUAAAGUUUAUUUUGGGAAGGCAUAUAUGCCUUUUGAUGACACACACACCAAAAUAUAUAAGAGCUGUGCAUGGUAAACCCACAGUAGAAGGGAAAAAGUAAUGCUUUCUGGUAUACUUCAGAGGCUCCAUUUGAAGAUGUGCGUUGAUGUUUCCUUGAUUAUUUUGAAUGAGGAGUAGGCGGUAAUAUUUAACAGGUAGCAUACGUAUCUAAGCAUAUAGUAAAUAUUACUAGUACUUGUGUGCCAUGAGGCACUAAUACAUAGGUGAAACAAAAAUAUUUUUAGUUCUAAAAAAUUCUCUAGAUAUUUAUGGAUGGUUAGGCAAUAGGGUUCCUUCAUGAGAAGGAAAAAACUGUAUCUUUAUUGUCAGUAAGUGUGGAAAAAAACCCGACUUGUAUGUGUAUUCACAGUUUGAUAGGCAUAUUUUGAAGUCAUUGUUUUCCAUCAGUAUUAAGUAUCAUCCAUUUCUAUGUUCUCUAGCAAAAGAAAAUUCUUAGUGUGAUACAGCUUUACUCUUUGUUUGACUUUGUACAAGGUCCACAAAAGGAGGAGGCUCAAAAGAUUGGACACUUUACCCUGACAUUCAGCACAUUCAUUUUAUCUUUCGAUAAAGAUAACCAGAAAUCAUUUGCCUCUUGUUUAUUAUCAUGUUGAAAACACAACAGUAUAGUUCCUUUUGUCCCUUACAUUGGAAAAGGUAUUUUAAAUUUAGCCUUGCCGUAUUAUUUAUAGUUAGGAAUUUACUACAUUUUGGUAGUCUGUUUUGAAACUAAGCACUUGUGUCUGAAAGAUGCAGAUAAUAUCUAUCUAUUUAUUACACAGUGGGCUCUGUUUGCUGCAGAAAAGAGUGAAACUUUUAACUGCUUAGCACACUUGCCAGUGAAAUAUACCUGACAGAGCAGAGGUUAUAACUUUGGCUCUAAUUACUUUUAGUAAUGGUAAGACAACGUGAGUUUUGUUUGUUUACAUGCUGUUUACAAUGGCAUAAUUUUAAAAAUAUAUACAAUUGAGAUAUUUAUUGCCUACUAUUUUAAAGAUGUUUUAUGUGUUUUCACCUUUGGAAUAUAUUGUUACAUUUCCUUGUACAGAUAAUUUUGGUGGCUUUGUUAAUGUAGCUAGUAAUUUUUAUGACUACUAAGUGACCAGUUUUCGGUGCCUUUUAUUGUGGGAUGCAUGAUUAUGUAUUUAUUGUACGGAAGUCACUGACGUGUGUAUUUUUGUACUUUGCUGAAAGUAAUGGUUGAUCCUGAUGUACAUGAUGAUGAAAGACAUCUUUCCCAAAGGGCACUGCCUUGAGAUCAUCCUUCUCAAAUAAAAAGAAUGCAUUUGAAGA